CUUUCUUGGACCAACGCAAUAAGAAAUUGGUAUCCCUUUGUUUAUCGAGCCAAACCGGAGAGAGAAACAAACAUGACUCUCCCUUGUUCAAAAUCACAAGUGUUAAUGACGAAUUUCGAUUCAUCACUCUCUUUCUCUGUCGGUAUUGUUUUCAAUCCGAGAGUAAAACCCUCGCAAUCUUCCCUCUUAGAUCUAUCCACCAAGCUAUGAUCUACCUCUUGCCAAAAAAAAAAGCCAGCUAAGAUCUACCCACUGAGGUAUCUCAAUCCAUUUCUGCAAAUCUGAUGGUACAUCAGUCACCGACACAUCUCCGUCUCCUCCAAAUCUGAUGCCACUGAGGAUUUGUUUGAGAUUUUUAUGGGUUGACUCUCCUCUGCAGCCGUCGAUCCGCAACUCUUUCUCUGCGGCUUCUCACAAUUGGGUCACCAAUUCAGUUCUCUCUAUAUAUAUGUUGCAAUACUAGUGGAGAUUGAGGUUGCUUUAAUUGAAAUUAAAAUUCUAAUAUGUUGUUCAUGUACUGUGGACUCGAGUACAGUUGCAGUGGCAAUUGAAACUCUUAAGAAUCUUGAUUGAUUAUCUGUUUGAUUAUCAGGUAUGAAAUUUCAGAAAUGGGUAUUGUUUCACCAAUCUCUUAAGUUCCAUUUUAAGUUGAACAUGAAUUCUCUGUAAUUCUUGUGGAUAAUUUUCACUGCCUUAUAGUACUCUUAAUUAUGUCAUUCAUCUUCUCUUGAAUCUAUUAGAUUUUUUUGUGCCUUACUUGGACAUGCAUACAACUCUUGAAAUCAUUUUUAGUUCCUAUACAACAUCUGUUCUCAAACUAUUGAUAUGCUCCUUUAUUCAAUUGACCAACUUUCAUUAUAUUUUACAGUUCUUCUGAAAUCAAACUUGAAAUUUUUUUUGUCAGGUGGUGCUAUGACUUUUGUUAGAAGAACUCUUCAACCCAGGUUUUUCAUUUCACUAACUUCACUCUUGGAAUAGUGGAAUACUCUAUUUUCUGCUUUUUUAUGGUAGUGUAGUUUAGGUAUAAUUCAUUAUUGUUUUCCCUCUAUUGUUUCAGUAAUUUGCUUUCAUACUUAAGUACGAGCUGCUGAAGUUAUUGUGAUUCAAACUAUGAGAUGUGAAAAUGCUCGUUGGGACUUGCUGCUAAAUUUGGCUCAGCAAGUGUAGCUGUUCCAGGAUAUCAAGAAGGCGCUAUUAAGACAAUUGCACAUAAGGUUGCAGCAUAAAUGAGGCAAAGCUGGUAUACAAAAUAUUCUUAGGUUCUGUAUGCAUUAUUAUGUGGUUGCUAGAAGUUGGCAAUUGAUCUUACAUGUUUUACAGUUUGAUCCUUGGUACCAUAAUUAUUAGUGAAAUGCUCUUGUUUCUUUCAUGUGUUGAGAAAUCUAAAGUUGUAAUUGAAUGGUUUCAGGAAAUUUAUAAUUAAAUAUUUUGGGAUGAUUGA